GUAGGUUGCAAGCGUUGUCCGGAUUUACUGGGUGUAAAGGGAGCGUAGGCGGACUUUCAAGUCAGUGGUAAAAUCGUGUGGCUCAACCAUACCUCGCCAUUGAAACUGGAAGUCUGGAGUGCACACAGGGGUGCCGGAAUUCAUGGUGUAGCGGUGAAAUGCUUAGAUAUCAUGAAGAACUCCGAUCGCGAAGGCAAGUGCCCGGGGUGCAACUGACGCUGAGGCUCGAAGGUGCGGGUAGC
rnacentral:rRNA from 1 species